CAGCAGCCGCGGUAAUACCAGCACCUCGAGUGGUCAGGAGGUUUAUUGGGCCUAAAGCAUCCGUAGCCGGUUGCAUAAGUUUUCGGUUAAAUCUAUGCGCUUAACGUAUAGGCCGCCGAAAAUACUGUGCAGCUAGGGAGUGGGAGAGGUACACGGUACUCGAUAGGAAGGGGUAAAAUCCUUUGAUCUAUUGAUGACCACCUGUGGCGAAGGCGGUGUUCCAGAACACGUUCGACGGUGAGGGAUGAAAACUGGGGGAGCAAACCGGAUUAGAUACCCCGGUAGUCCCUGUCUCUUAUAC
rnacentral:rRNA from 1 species